GACGAACGCUGGCGGCGUGCUUAACACAUGCAAGUCGAACGGAAAGGCCCCUUUUGGGGUACUCGAGUGGCGCACGGGUGAGUAACACGUGAGUAACCUGCCCUUGACUUCGGGAUAACUUCAGGAAACUGGGGCUAAUACCGGCUAGGAAUCCUUGCUGCAUGGUGGGGGUUGGAAAGCUUCGGCGGUUUUGGAUGGACUCGCGGCUUAUCAGCUUGUUGGUGGGGUAGUGGCUUACCAAGGCUUUGACGGGUAGCUGGCCUGAGAGGGCGACCGGCCACAUUGGGACCGAGAGACGGCCCAGACGCCGACGGGAGGCAGCAGGGGGGAAGAUUGCACAAUGGGCGGAAGCCGGAUGCAGCAACGCCGCGGGCGGGAUGACGGCCUUCGGGUUGUAAACCGCUUUCAGCAGGGGCGAAGCUUGUGGUGACGGUACCUGCAGAAGAAGCACCGGCUAACUACGUG
rnacentral:rRNA from 1 species